CAGAGAUUGUCUUCAUAUAGAAGUCUCUUCCCACUGCUAUGGGGAUGAUGAAGAUGCUGAGGCUGAGGAGAUCUGCACACUCACCUGAUGCCAGAGCAGAAGCAGUGCUCUAUUCCACUGUGAGACAAUCGUAGCCUGCUAGAAGUUUCAUGGGUGGCUCAGAGCAAAGCUUGGUGACUCUUUGAAUGUCUCACUGGCAGGAGGGAAGUAAUUUCUCCAGCUUCAGCACAUGAUGAGCUUGUUGUGGCUGGGGUGAGGGGGUGGCUGGAGGUGAGCUGCCGGGAAGGUGUGCAGCAGAGGGCAGCAGCUCACAAGCACACACACACCUGCACCCACAGCUGCCACACCUAACACACACCCCAACAACACUUCUUCCCAUCAGACACGGACUGGCAAGUUUUGGAUCUCUGCAGAAGCUGCCGUCUUGACCUUCUCAUCUGGAAUUAAGGCUUGUCUGAUUUGAAACACUGGAGUGAUACUCUGGGGCUGUUUCCAUUGCAGCACAUGAGGUGAUUAUAUUUGGAUUUGUUUCUUGGAGAAGACCCAGAAAAGGAACUGUAAUGGAAAGUCCUGCAAUCAUGAUACUCCUGAGACUCCAUUAACAAGCACCAUUACAUCACUGCUCACUUAAAGAAGGUCAGUGCACCCUUCCUUUUUCUGUAGAGUGCUGUGGGGUUGAGGAGGCUGCAGACACACAUACAAACCUGUCUUGUUUGCUGUCUGGUUUUCAGAACCCAUAGACAUGUGGGUGGAGAGAGUGGGCAAUAUCACUCUGUAUCUCAAAGCAGCAAAUAUUUUACCACCUGCAGAUAAGUAGUUCAAACUGUGGGAGCCAUUCAAGGGAAGGGUCUGCACUGAAAAAUUAGUAAAAAACAUGACCAAACCAGAUGAAAUGAAUGUGCAAAUGGUUCUGUUUUUUAUCUUAUAGCAGAAAAUAGCAGAAAAAUAACUCAAAUCAUGCUUUUAGAUCUAUAAUUAAAAAAAAAAAAAAUAAAGCAAACAAAUCCUCAAAACUUCCUGCUCUAAUUUUAGGAUUCAUCGAUUUCCUUUCUUUCUCUCACUCUUGUUUUAAGAUCCUGCUGCAUUUAAAAGUUUUGGGAGUUGUUUUGUUUUUAAUCACAAUUUUCUUUCCUAUGUCUUGACCCGCACAAAAAAACUUACUUAGGUUUUCUGUGUCAGUAGUACUGUUCUGCCCCAGGGUCUUUUAGAGUAAACUUCUAGAUGAAGAGACUGUAAUUGGUACCAAAAAGUCUGCCUGAGUAUUCAGAGACUAAAAUAAAUUUGAACUGUCUCCAUGCUUUUCAGUAAACAUUAAAUGAACUCUGGUGAUCUCAAAUAGCAGCAAGGUUAACUGUUUCACUCAUGAUCAAGAUGUGUGGAGAAAGAGCAUUGACACCUGUAAUGAUGAGCACUGCUUGCCACAACUGGUAACUGUGCUCUGCCAAGCUUGGCAUUGAGGCCAUCCCGGGAAAGUUUUGGGUUUUUUGGGUUUUUCCAAGCUGACUUGAGGGAGCACCACACUGGAAGGAUUCAGGAAGAACCCUUUGAUCAUUCCUCGAGCAUCCACUCAAACUGUGGUGUUUAACACCAUGUUUCACUGCUCAGGGUGAGGCAGACUGCUUUGCUGAAGGUUUGUCUGCAAAAUACAAAUAUUAAGCCUGGAAAAAUACCACACCAUUUUUUAAUUCCCCAAGAGUUAUUGAAUCAUACAAUAAUUUGGGUUGGAAGGGACCUUUAAAGGUCACCUGAUGCAACUCCUCUGCAGUGAGCAGGACAAGAAAAAGAAACAGCUCAAAAUCAGAUCUCACCUGAAGAAAGCAUGUGUAAUAUCAUGUUUGGAUUGAUUGAUUUCUUGCUGAUGUUUUGGUAGAUCUGAAUUUUCAAGAGCAGAUGUAUAAAGAUGUUUGAGAGUUAGUAUGAGCACAGCAGUGAUAAUACAACAGUCACAAGUAUUAAGAUGCAGGACACCACCUCUGCUGAAGAAAGAAGAUAAAAAUUUGAAGUAGGUCAGAAACAGAUCCUGAGAGGUGGAGAAAUAUUGAAAAUAUAUACCAUAAAAAGGAGAUUUCUCCCUUCUGUAUGAUACCAUCCAGCCUCUUGAACGUGACAGGAGUUCUUUCUUGGGGCCUUCAACAUUUAAUAAUAAAAACCAUCAUCAGCAAUAAAUGAUUUCACAAGCAGAAAAGAUUUCAAGAAGUGAGACAAGGUGUUGGACCUUUUGGAAAGAGAUCAUAAUUUUAGCAGCCUGGACAUAAUUUUUUAGGCCUGGACAGAGACUUUCAAACAUUGAGAUAUGAUGUUGUUUUAAAUAGUCGCAGGCCAUUUAUCAGUCUUCAUGUUUGAAUUAUGUUCUUUAUUUGGCCAUAUUUCUAAAUAUGUUAUGAGAACAACAUUUCUAGGAAUUAUGGUUUGCUUCAUAUUGAGAAACAAAGUGGAAUCAAUCUGUUUUCUAGUUAUACAAUAUGGACUGGGUUGAGAGAGGUUUUCGGCUUUGUCUGGAGUUUUGUCUGAAACUGAAUAACAAAGUGGAAUUUUCUUGGAAGUUCAGUGUUUGCAGGUGUUGUAUGCCUGGAAUUAUUUCAAGAAAAACAUCUGGAAUUUCGUCUUCAAGAGAAACAAAGCCCUGGAAGCUGCAAUGAGUUGUCCAAAAUCACAUAGACUCUCAGAGUAAAAUCAGGAGGAAAACCCAGCCCUUCUAAUCCUGUCAUUACAUGCAUCUUGCAUUUUCAUUCUUACCAAUCAGUCACCCAGUCAGCCAAAAGUCUUCCUGGAAAGAAACAAUGACAGAAGCCAGAAGAGAUGCAGUUUGGCUCAAAACCAUUUUAGCCAAUAAACAGAUCAUCACAUCAGUGACCUGAUUUCCAGAGGAACAGCUCUCAAAGUCCACAGGAGGUACUCAGCAUGUCUGAAAAUCAAGCCAUAAAUAGAUGUGAAUCUCUCUCUUUUUUUUUCCUCAAAGAACUGAACUGCCAAGUCUCAGCAAACAGCCAAAGAAACCCAGCUUGUUCACAAAUGCUAAUUUAAAGCUGCAUGUGUGUUUGCACAGACUGGAUUGGACUGAAUAAGUCUGAGUCACAAUAAAAGGGAAAUUUAUUAUUCUAAAAGGAAUCUUUAAAUUCUUGGAGGUUUAGGAAGGGGCUAAAAAGGCUGCCAUUUGAGAGAUCUGCAUCUGUGGUAUCUGUGAGUAAGCCUGGAGCGGAAGUAAAGAGGAAAUCCCCCAUACUGCUUAAUGAAAUACUGUUGUGGGAUAAUCACUGCCAAAGAAACUCAUCAGUUCAGACUUUGAGCAUCUUUGUAUGUUAAAGUGCCUGAACAGAGCAAGUGAAACAUGCAUUUCCUGUUUGGGGGACCCUUUUUGCCAAUAUGAAGAUCUGGACUGUUAUUGUGUAGAAAAUAGUAUCAUUUAUGUUGGGGACAGUAGAGGAGAGAUCUGGACUUUAUUAUGUUAUUAUGUCACCUUUCUCAGUGGACUGACUUUCAGUUUGUUUUGAAGAUCUUGAGAACAAGAAACUUUUUCCUAGCGCAAAAGAAGUUAAUAGUUGCACUGUCAUGUUCCUCUCAUGUCUCUUCUUAGUUCUGUGUUUUCUUAGAUCAGAACACCAUUAUGUGCAAAAUAGCUCUAGAAAAAGUGUAAUGGAGGAAGAAAACUCCUGUCUUAAUUCCUCAUCAAAUGUACAGGAAGAAGAAAGAGAAGUCAUUUGUAUUCAGGGCAAAGGAACUUUAGGAUUCUUCCAAAUGGAAGGCACUACUGAGCUAAAAUUAAGACACUGGUGUUUCUCCAAGAUGUCACAGGUCCAGCAAACUAGAUGCCAAAACUAUUUACCUGAAAUAGGAGGGUACAGAUAUGUUCCAAGUCAAUCUAGCUGUACUCUACUUUCAUUUAGUAAAUGAUUCGUAAAUUGUCCCAGAUAUUACAUGAACCAUUACAUGGUUAAUGUUAACAAUUCCUCUCCUGCAUAUAAAUCAGAAUUACUCCACUGAUCACAACAGGCCAAGGUAUAAUAAAGGAAUACAUUAUUCAGGGCAAGAAGAGGGUGUAGAAAACCCAAAGGGAUAAUUGAAUGCAUCACUAGCAAGCUGGCUGAUGUUACUAAACUGGGAGGUGGUCUGCCUCGGUAGGGUGAUCGGAGGUUUGAGCAUUGAGCAAUGAUUAAUGGGAUCAAAUUUAACAAGACCAAACACCAUAUUCUGAAUCUGGGAUGCAGCAACAGUGGGCACAAGUAUGAAUUGGGACAGCAGUGGCUGAGAUCAGCCCUGCAGAUAGGGAUCUGAGGGUGCUGGCUGGGCAGCAGCUCUCCAAGCGCCAGCAGUGACCCCUAAUCCCAUCCUGGGGUACACUAAACACAGCACAACCAGCCAGGAAAAAGCCCACUUUUCUCAGCCUUGGGUGCAAGGCUGGGACUCGCCACUGAAGAAGGAUGUGAAGGUCCCUGAAUGCAUCCCAAGGUGGGCAACAAAGCCAGUGAGAGGACUGGAAGGCAUGCCCUAUGAGGAGCAGCUGUGGGCUCUGGGGCUGUCUGGUUUGGAGGAGAGAAGGCUGAGUGGCGACCUCAUGCUCUCUAACAGCUUCCCGAGAAUGGGAAAGGGGGAGGAGAGUGCUGAGUUCUUCUCCCUGUGAUCAAGAUAGCUUUACCAAGAGGGUGAUCAAACACUGAAAGCAUAUGUUCCUGGAGACAUGAUUGAUGUUCCAAGCCUGCCAGUGUUUAAGAAGCAUUUGGGUAAUGCAGAUAAUAAUAUGUUUUAACUCCUAGUCAUUCCUGAAGCAGCGAGGUAGUUGGACUGGAUGGUCAUUGUAUUUUCCUUCCAGCUUGAACUAUCCUAGCCUAGUCUAUUCUUUAGUUUCCAUUCUGAAGCCUCAUUUUGGCUUGGGAUCCUUCCAUCUUAUAUCUCUCCAUCUUAUAUCUCUCUCUUAUCAUUGCAAGGAGUUAACCUUGCUCCAUAGGACCAAGAUUUUCAGUCAACAUUCUCAGACACAAGAAUAUCCUCUCCCUCCCACAGUAUCUAUCUUUGAUCAAAUAUUUUGGAUUUAUAAUUUUUCAGGUAUCAGAAUGCCAUGUUUAUGCCAUUCUCAGCCGUUCUCUAACUACUAUUCCCUCCCCUGUCCCUGCCAAAUUCCAUUUGCUUCAAAUCUUGUCCA